rnacentral:misc_RNA from 1 species
GAUGAAGAACGCAGCGAAAUGCGAUAAGUAAUGUGAAUUGCAGAAUUCAGUGAAUCAUCGAAUCUUUGAACGCACAUUGCGCCCGCCAGUAUUCUGGCGGGCAUGCCUGUUCGAGCGUCAUUUCAACCCUCAAGCACAGCUUGGUGUUGGGACUCGCGUUAAUUCGCGUUCCUCAAAUUGAUUGGCGGUCACGUCGAGCUUCCAUAGCGUAGUAGUAAAACCCUCGUUACUGGUAAUCGUCGCGGCCACGCCGUUAAACCCCAACUUUUGAAUGUUGACCUCGGAUCAGGUAGGAAUACCCGCUGAACUUAAGCAUAUCAAUAAGCGGAGGA